UGCGGGCGCAUGUGUGCGAGGGGUACAGCAUUCGCAGGCUUCACUGGCAAGUACGGGAGCGCACGAGUGCGAGCAAGACGGAAAGAUACGAUCUCAGGCUUGUUUUGGGUACGGGACUUCGAUCAAUAAUACUACUAGAUUCGCGAUAAGCGCUUCAAAAACGGCCCGAAAAAUAAGACCACAAAUAAAUUUGUGGUCUUAUUUCAAAUUAGUAUGGUCCAAUCAUAGCCAACACUAAGACGUCAAACCGCUGCACUGCGCGUUCAAAAACGGAGUAAAAAACCACCGUAACACCAAGGUUUUGGAAGGAAUAUAUUUUUUUGAUUUCCUAGUAGCCCCUUUUCACUGUGCACAAUGGAUAUAUAUUGUCGCGAAAGAAGGAGGAUAAGAAAUAUAGAACCCUUAUAAAAAUUCUAGAAUUGUUCAAUGGUGGUGGCAAAUCAAUGCAAAAAAGUAUUAUAAAAACUUUAUAUGUAUGUGUAAAUAUUUUAAGCGUAUAUGCUGAAAAGGAUUUGUUUUCUGGGGGAAACGAACACAGCCAUAAAAUAAGCCUAAAUUAAACUGAUUAUAGAAAAAUUCUUUAAUAUAAGAUUACAUUAUAUUUGUAAAAAAGAAACCGCUCAUAUAAAAAUGACUUCUAAAAAACAGCUUUAUAACAAGCUGAAUCUGUUUAAAGGUAAUUAAACAAAAAAAAAAUUGUUUUAAUUACUUCUGUAUAAAGAAUACGUGGAAAACGUUGUUGUUCCCUUGUUUCCUUUCUUUUUUUUUUUACUUUAUUCAAUUUUAUUAUUUAUUACCUAUUUGUUGUAAUAGCGGCAAUGUAAAAUAUUAUCUACAACUUUUUUGAAUCGGUCAAAAAUAGUUGCGACCAUACAAAACAAACCUAAAACAAAUAUAUUCUGCAACUCUACGUCUUUCAAUACUUACUGUGUUCUGAGCAUUGAAAUGUAAUACCAAGAA